CCUACGGGAGGCAGCAGUGAGGAAUAUUGGUCAAUGGGCUUACGCCUGAACCAGCCAAGCCGCGUGAGGGAAGACUGCCCUAUGGGUUGUAAACCUCUUUUGCCAGGGAGCAACGCCGGCUACGUGUAGCCGGACUGAGAGUACCUGAAGAAAAAGCAUCGGCUAACUCCGUGCCAGCAGCCGCGGUAAUACGGAGGAUGCGAGCGUUAUCGGGAUUUAUUGGGUUUAAAGGGUGCGUAGGCGGAAUGCCAAGUCAGCGGUAAAAUCGCGGGGCUCAACCUCGCUCCGCCGUUGAUACUGGCGUGCUGGAGUGGGCGAGAGGUAUGCGGAAUGCGAGGUGUAGCGGUGAAAUGCGUAGAGAUCACGCAGAACUCCGGUUGCGAAGGCAGCAUACCGGCGCCCAACUGACGCUGAAGUGCGAAAGCGUGGGUAUCGAACAGGAUUAGAUACCCCUGUAGUC
rnacentral:rRNA from 1 species